rnacentral:rRNA from 1 species
UACGGGGGGGGGCAAGCGUUGUUCGGAAUUACUGGGCGUAAAGGGCUCGUAGGCGGCCAACUAAGUCGGAUGUGAAAUCCCCAGGCUUAACUUGGGAACUGCAUCCGAUACUGGAUGGCUUGAAUCCGGGAGAGGGAUGCGGAAUUCCAGGUGUAGCGGUGAAAUGCGUAGAUAUCUGGAGGAACACCGGUGGCGAAGGCGGCAUCCUGGACCGGCAUUGACGCUGAUGAGCGAAAGCCAGGGGAGCAAACGGGG